UAAAAAUACUCGGAUCGAACUUUUCCUGUGCUAAGUUAACGCUGCUGCUGCGGCUAGUUUUUGCAUCCUGCGGCCUGAAAAACCGACGACGUGGGCGUCUGACUAGUGGAAAUCAAUCGUUUUUCAAACGGAGAUUAUUUAUUUUGUGUUGUUUUUGAACAUUUGAUGUGUGCGGUUCGUUGUUCCACGUGGUGAUUUAAAGCGACUGGAAUCCCGUUUCAUUGAGUUGUCUGUUGGCCUUCGGGCGGUUUGGGGCCUAGAUUUUCUCGCGAAAAUCCCUUAAUCAAAUUCGGUUCCUUAGAAUAGGAAAGCGUAUAGUGAUAUCCCUGAAAAUCCAAAUUUCACAGAACCGGGCUGCGUGAUUAUUCUUUCGCUAGUUGGGUAAGGUGUCCUCUGAACGACUGAAAGUUCCCACCUGGCAGCCAGAACCAAACCUGGUCGGAUCCGCCAAACAAUCGAAACUUUCGGUCCGGUUUCCAUAGCACCCUGAAAUAAAAUCCGAGCACCCAAAUAAAGGCAGCCGACGGCAACCAUGAACCGAUCCCGUUCGGUUCCCGAGGCGCAACAGUCCGGUGGCCCGAAGUCAUCCGGUGGAACAGGAGCAGGAGGUGGCCUCGCGGGGGCCCUCAACACCCGGGGCGGGGCCAUGAUAAUGAAGAGCGUUUCCAUCUUUCUGGCCAGUGGCAGACGAGCCUCCGGAGUGUCCAGAGAACGGAACAAAUCGAGCGAUCGGUCCUCGUCCCGGGGCAUUUGUGGUGGUGCUGGCGGACCUUCCAGUGGCAGUGAAUCGCAAUCGAACAAACUUGGCCCCCGGGAGUCGCGAAAGACGCGCCGAAUUUUGGCCAGAAUGGACGAGCUCAACGGGAAGUUGAAUCCGAAAAUGCUGGAAAUGUACAAGCGGAAAACGCAUUUCUCCAAGAUCGAAGUGGAGGCGCUCUGUAAAAUCUUCCGGAAAUUGGUUGCCAAUGCCAGUCUCAAUUCGAAAGCCCUAUCGGCCAAUAACGCCGGGGUGAUCGCAAAAGCUGGUUCCUCGACGGAUGGAAUCGAUCGGUCCGUUUUUCGGGAACUCCUUCACAGUACCUUCGACAUCGUCACCGAGGAAACACUGAUGGAACGGAUUUUCUGCGCCUGGGAGAAGGGCUACGAGGGUCUGCCGAUCCGGCUCGAGGGUUGGAUCGUGGGGCUUUCGACCUUUCUCAAGGGAUCGCAGGCGGAGAAGACGGCUUUCUGUUUCCGGGUGUACGAUUUGAACAGCGAUGGGUAUAUUACGAAGGACGAGAUGUUUGCGCUGCUGAGGAACUGUUUGAUUAAACAGCCGCAGGACGAGGAUCCGGACGAGGGAGUAAAGGAUUUGAUCGAGAUUGCCCUGAGGAAGCUGGAUAUGGAUAAAGAUGGAAAGGUUUCAUUCCAAGACUACCAGGAAGCCAUCACCGAGGAACCGUUGCUGCUGGAAGCUUUCGGACAGUGUUUGCCAUCGGAUCGAGCCACGGCGUCCUUUCUCUCGACCCUACAAGUGUAAUGUUUCCAUUUUUAACUCCUGGUUUUUUUCGUAGUGUUCUCUGUUUGCAAAGCGUGUGUUUUCUUGCCCCACAUUGUUUCUUUUACAUUGUUCUUUCUUGGUGUCAAUCAAAAACAAAUCAAAAACACAUUCUCUCACUCGGUUUUCGAGUCCAUGUAAGUUUUGACAAACGAACAACAACUACACCAAUUGUUGAAACACACCCGGAAACUUCGCGCCAGACAUCCCUAGAAAACGGAAUCAGUGUUUGAAGCUUAAUUUAACCUCUUCAAAAUUCAAACUGAGCAACAUACAAAUUAAACCACCCAUCCACCCAUUCCAACCCCAAAAAUAAACUCCGUUCAACAUGUGUACAUAUCAAAAUCUGGGCCUCCCGGAAAUUCGAUUAAAACCAUCCUGCAGCAGUCAAGAAGAGCAAACCUAAAAACCCUGGCGGUCCGUCGCUGGAACUGAACUACCGCAACAAGUGGACUCGGACAGGUUACGAGAAGAGCUUCCUCAUGUGAUUCGGUGUUGAGUUUUUUUUCGUCUUUUAUGAUAUUUUGGAGUGAAGCGAACGGUUCAUCAUGAUCAUUCAUUAACGGAUUGGAAGAGAGACGGCGACCAAAAAGCCAAAGAGCUAAUUGCCACGCAUACCUAAUCUAUCGAACAGCAAACCAAAGCCGCCAAAGCAGCGAACAACACUUUUGACGAAUGAGCGUGUUUGUUUUAACAUAUCAAGGGCAACCGCAUUGAGGAACCGAAAUCAAAAAAGUUCCUCAAAUGUGUGCUAGUGCAUUGUAUUAAUGAAUUCUUAAUCUAGGUUAAGGCUUCAAGUGCAUUUGGAAAAACUUGCUAUUUAGAUAUCACUCAGAUAGUUGUAGUUGAUAGAAUUUUUUAAUAGUUGUCUAAUAAUGAUAAGUAAAUAAAGAAAUAACGUGUUUUCAGAACAAGUAUUGUUUGAUUGAUUCCAUCCCGAGCAGACUUUUAUGGCAAAAUUAUAGCAAAUUUUGCUAUCACGCCUUGAGAGCCGAACUUGCUCUCAUUUUGCUU